rnacentral:rRNA from 1 species
UACGAAGGGGGCUAGCGUUGUUCGGAUUUACUGGGCGUAAAGCGCACGUAGGCGGAUCGUUAAGUUGGGGGUGAAAUCCUGGAGCUCAACUCUGGAACUGCCUUUGAUACUGUCGAUCUGGAGUAUGGAAGAGGUGAGUGGAAUUCCGAGUGUAGAGGUGAAAUUCGUAGAUAUUCGGAGGAACACCAGUGGCGAAGGCGGCUCACUGGUCCAUUACUGACGCUGAGGUGCGAAAGCGUGGGGAGCAAACAGG